UACGAAGGGGGCUAGCGUUGCUCGGAAUCACUGGGCGUAAAGCGCGCGUAGGCGGAUCGUUAAGUCGGGGGUGAAAUCCUGGAGCUCAACUCCAGAACUGCCUUUGAUACUGGCGAUCUUGAGUCCGGGAGAGGUGAGUGGAACUCCGAGUGUAGAGGUGAAAUUCGUAGAUAUUCGGAGGAACACCAGUGGCGAAGGCGGCUCACUGGUCCAUUACUGACGCUGAGGUGCGAAAGCGUGGGGAGCAAACAGG
rnacentral:rRNA from 1 species